rnacentral:rRNA from 1 species
GAUGAACGCUGGCGGCGUGCCUAAUACAUGCAAGUCGAGCGAACAGAUAAGGAGCUUGCUCCUUUGACGUUAGCGGCGGACGGGUGAGUAACACGUGGGUAACCUACCUAUAAGACUGGGAUAACUUCGGGAAACCGGAGCUAAUACCGGAUAACAUUUGGAACCGCAUGGUUCUAAAGUGAAAGAUGGUUUUGCUAUCACUUAUAGAUGGACCCGCGCCGUAUUAGCUAGUUGGUAAGGUAACGGCUUACCAAGGCGACGAUACGUAGCCGACCUGAGAGGGGGAUCGGCCACACUGGAACUGAGACACGAUCCAGACUCCUACGGGAGGCAGCGGUAGGGAAUCUUCCGCAAUGGGCGAAAGCCUGACGGAGCAACGCCGCGGGGGUGAUGAAGGGUUUCGGGUCGUAAAACUCUGUUAUUAGGGAAGAACAAACGUGUAAGUAACUGUGCACGUCUUGACGGUACCUAAUCAGAAAGCCACGGCUACCUACGU